rnacentral:rRNA from 1 species
UAAGGAAUAUUGGUCAAUGGACGCAAGUCUGAACCAGCCAUGCCGCGUGAAGGAUUAAGGUCCUCUGGAUUGUAAAGCUCUGUCGGGCGGGACGAACGGACAUUAGGUUAACAGCCUAGUGUAUUGACGGUACCGCCAAAGGAAGCACCGGCUAACUUCGUGCCAGCAGCCGCGGUAAUACGUAGGGUGCAAGCGUUAAUCGGAAUUACUGGGCGUAAAGCGUGCGCAGGCGGUAGUGCAAGUCUGAUGUGAAAGCCCCGGGCUUAACCUGGGAACGGCAUUGGAGACUGCAUAACUAGAGUGCGUCAGAGGGGGGUAGAAUUCCACGUGUAGCAGUGAAAUGCGUAGAGAUGUGGAGGAAUACCGAUGGCGAAGGCAGCCCCCUGGGAUGACACUGACGCUCAUGCACGAAAGCGUGGGGAGCAAACAGG